rnacentral:sRNA from 1 species
GCAGUCGCAAAAUCGGCUGCCGAGCCUGAGAACUCGAACAAUAGACACACGGCGAACAGUAGCACGCCUUUAAUUCGUGCUUUUUUU